UACGUAGGGCGCAAGCGUUGUCCGGAAUUAUUGGGCGUAAAGAGCUCGUAGGCGGCCUGUUGCGUCCGCUGUGAAAUCCCGGGGCUCAACCCCGGGCGUGCAGUGGAUACGGGCUGGCUGGAGGCAGGCAGGGGAGAACGGAAUUCCUGGUGUAGCGGUGAAAUGCGCAGAUAUCAGGAGGAACACCGGUGGCGAAGGCGGUUCUCUGGGCCGUGUACUGACGCUGAGGAGCGAAAGCGUGGGGAGCGAACAGG
rnacentral:rRNA from 1 species